UGACUUGACAUUGUUCAUUUGAAAUUUCUGUUAUUAUAGUUCAGAAUUCCUCUUCAAAUCUUUCUGUCUAUCUCUCUUUCCAAUGCUAAGAAACUCAUUAAAAUUUACCUUCUCUAUUUUUUUACCACUUAUGUAGAUCCAUGUCGAAUUUUUUUCAAUAUUUGCUUAUCUGAAGCACCAUGGGACAUUUUUAUUGUUCAGGUUCUAUGUAAAUGCACAUUGUUGUUGUUUGUUUGUCACAUGCUUAUUGUUUGUCCUUUCCUCCCCGAUCUGCACACUUUGUAGAUCAAAUACAAGGAAAAUGUUGGUCAAGGAACAGCAAUCUCUGACCUGCCUGAGGUGCAGCGUGUGAAGGAAACACAGAAGAACAUCAGCUCGAUCAAAUACAAGGAAGGUAUUGGGAAAGGAACUGCAAUCUCUGACCUGCCUGAGGUGAAGCGUGUAAAAGAGACACAGAAGAACAUCAGCUCGGUCUUAUACAAAGAGAACCUGGGUAAAGGAAUCGCUGUGGUGUACACCCCAGAGAUGCAGCGCGUUAAACGCAAUCAAGAAAAUAUUAGCUCGAUACUAUACUCUGACAGCUUCCGGAAGCAAGUACAAGGUCGAGCAGCUUAUGUGUUGGACACACCAGAGAUGAGACGUGUCCGGGAUUCUCAGCGCAAUAUAUCAACAGUAAGUUAAUAUC